rnacentral:rRNA from 1 species
AGAGUUGAUCAUGCUCAGAUUGAAACGCUGCGUAACUUUAAACAUGCAAGUCGAGCGGUAACAGAACAUAAAGAUCAGCUGCUGAAUCCGGUGCUGACGAGGCGGCGAACGGGUGAGUAACGGCGUAGGAAAUCUACCUAGUAGCGGGGGGAUAGCCCGGGGAAACCCGGAUUAAUACCGCAUACGCCCUAAGGGGGAAAGGGGGCAGCUUGCUGCUCUCACUAUUGGAUGAGCCUGCGUAAGAUUAGCUUGUUGGUAGGGUAAAGGCCUACCAAGGCAACGAUCUUUAGCUGGUCUGAGAGGACGAUCAGCCACAUUGGGACUGAGACACGGCCCAGACAUCUACGGAUGGCAGCAGUUAAGAAUAUUGGACAAUGGGGGCAACCCUGAUCCAGGUAUACCGCGUGUGUGAAGAAGGCCCUAGGGUUGUAAAGCACUUUAAUCAGAGAAGAAGCAUUUUAAGCUAAUACCUUAAUAUGUUGACGUUACCUGAAGAAUAAGGACCGGCUAACUCCGUGCCAGCAGCCGCGGUAAUACGGAGGGUCCAAGCGUUAAUCGGAAUUACUGGGCGUAAAGCGCGCGUAGGCGGUUUAGCAAGUUGAAUGUGAAAGCCCUGGGCUCAACCUAGGAACUGCAUUCAAAACUACUAAGCUAGAGUGCGAGAGAGGAGAGUAGAAUUUCUGGUGUAGCGGUGAAAUGCGUAGAUAUCAGAAGGAAUACCAAUGGCGAAGGCAGCUCUCUGGCUCGUCACUGACGCUAAGGUGCGAAAGCGUGGGUAGCAAACAGGAUUAGAUACCCUGGUAGUCCACGCCGUAAACGUGAGAACUAGCCGUUGGGCAGAUUUAACUGUUCAGUGGCACAGCUAACGCAUUAAGUCUCCGCCUGGAGUACCCGACG